GACGGAGGGGGCAAGCGUUGUUCGGAAUUAUUGGGCGUAAAGCGCGUGUAGGCGGCUUUGCAAGUCGGGUGUGAAAGCCCUCAGCUUAACUGAGGAAGUGCGCCCGAAACUGCAGAGCUUGAGUACCGGAGAGGGUGGCGGAAUUCCCCAAGUAGAGGUGAAAUUCGUAGAUAUGGGAGGAACACCAGGUGGCGAAGGCG
rnacentral:rRNA from 1 species